rnacentral:rRNA from 1 species
UGAGUACGAGGUGCUACGGCAUCGAAGCAGUCUAUGUCAUACUUCCAAGAAAAGCUUGCACUGUCAUAAACAAAGAAUGCCUGUACCAUAACCGACACAGGUGGGUAGGUAGAGUAUACUAAGGGGCGCGAGAUAACUCUCUCUAAGGAACUCGGCAAAAUGACUCCGUAACUUCGGGAGAAGGAGUGCCUUAUUUCUAAGGUUGCAAUAACAAGAUCCAAGCAACUGUUUACCAAAAACACAGGUCUCCGCUAAGUCGUAAGACGAUGUAUGGGGGCUGACGCCUGCCCAGUGCCAGAAGGUUAAAGAAGUUGGUUAGCAUUAGCGAAGCUGAUAACUGAAGCCCUGGUGAACGGCGGCCGUAACUAUAACGGUCCUAAGGUAGCGAAAUACCUUGUCGGGUAAGUUCCGACCCGCACGAAAGGCGUAAUGAUUUGGAUACUGUCUCGGAGAGGGGCUCGGUGAAAUAGACUUGUCUGUGAAGAUGCGGACUACCUGCACCUGGACAGAAAGACCCUAUGAAGCUUUACUGUAACUUGAGAUUGAAAUUGGACUUUAUUUGCGCAGUAUAGGUGGGAGGCGUUGAGAAUAAUCUUGCGGGAUUGUUGGAGCCAUCAGUGAGAUACCACUCUUGUAAUGUUAGAUUUCUAACUUUGUAUCAUUAUCUGGUCAAAGAACAGUUUCAGGCGGGCAGUUUGACUGGGGCGGUCGCCUCCCAAAGGGUAACGGAGGCGCACAAAGGUUUCCUCUGAACGGGUAGAAAUCGUAUCUAGAGUGUAAAGGCAUAAGGAAGCUUGACUGUGAGACCUACAAGUCGAGCAGGGACGAAAGUCGGUCUUAGUGAUCUGACGGUGCUGAGUGGAAAGGCCGUCACUCAACGGAUAAAAGUUACUCUAGGAUAACAGGCUGAUCUCCCCCAAGAGUUCACAUCGACGGGGAGGUUUGGCACCUCGAUGUCGGCUCAUCGCAUCCUGGGGCGGUAGUCCGUCCCAAGGGUUGGGCUGUUCGCCCAUGAAAGCGGUACGCGGGCUGGGUUCAGAACGUCGUGAGACAGUUCGGUCCAUAUCCGGUGUAGGCGUUAGAAUAUUGAGAGGAGCCUUCUCUAGUACGAGAGGACCGAGAAGGACAUACCUCUGGUGUACCAGUUAUCGUGCCAACGGUAAACGCUGGGUAGCUAUGUAUGGAGUGGAUAACCGCUGAAAGCAUCUAAGUGGGAAGCCCACCUCAAGAUAAGUAUUCUC